GAUGAACGCUGGCGGCGUGCCUAACACAUGCAAGUCGAGCGAACAGACGAGGAGCUUGCUACGCUGACGUUAGCGGCGGACGGGUGAGUAACACGUGGACAACCUACCUAUUCGACUGGGAUAACUUCGGGAAACCGGAGCCCAAAACGGGUAACAUAUUGAACUGCAUGGUUCAAUAGCUAAAGACGGUUUUGCCAUCACUUAUAGAUCAAUCCGCGCCGCAUUAGCUAGUUGGUAAGGGAAGGGCUUACCAAGGCGACGGUGCGUAGCCGACCUGAGAGGGUGAUCGGCCACACUGGAACUGAGACACGGUCCAGACUCCUACGGGAGGCAGCAGUCUGGAAUCUUCCGCAAUGGGCGAAAGCCUGACGGAGCACCGCCGCGUGAGUGAUGAAGGCCUUCGGAUCGUAAAGCUCUGUUCUUCGGGAAGAACACAUGUGUAAGUAACUAUGCACGUCUUGACGGUACCUAAUCAGAAAGCCACGGCUAACUACGUG
rnacentral:rRNA from 1 species